CAAUGUGCCUGGCCAUUCCACCAGCCCAUCUAUGGGCCCCAGGGCCCUCCGCUGGUGGCCCCCAACAAUGAUGUGGGCCUAGACGGCAUGGUCAUCAACCUGGCUAGCCUUUUGGCUGGGACUGUGACCAAUCCAUUUGGAAAUGGCUACUACCAAGGUCCCAAAGAGGCUCCAUUGGAGGCUGCUUCUGCUUGCACUGGGGUUUAUGGGAAAGGCGCUUAUCCCGGCUAUGCUGGAAACCUCUUGGUGGACCCCACAACCGGUGCUAGCUACAAUGCUCAUGGUUCUAAUGGGAAGAAGUUCUUGCUUCCUGCUCUGUUUGACCCUUCAACCUCAACUUGUUCUACUCUGGUUUGAGAUACGAGAGUGC
rnacentral:lncRNA from 1 species